rnacentral:rRNA from 1 species
GACGAACGCUGGCGGCGUGCUUAACACAUGCAAGUCGAACGGAAAGGCCCUGCUUUUGUGGGGUGCUCGAGUGGCGAACGGGUGAGUAACACGUGAGUAACCUGCCCUUGACUUUGGGAUAACUUCAGGAAACUGGGGCUAAUACCGGAUAGGAGCUCCUGCUGCAUGGUGGGGGUUGGAAAGUUUCGGCGGUUGGGGAUGGACUCGCGGCUUAUCAGUUUGUUGGUGGGGUAGUGGCUUACCAAGGCUUUGACGGGUAGCCGGCCUGAGAGGGUGACCGGCCACAUUGGGACUGAGAUACGGCCCAGACUCCUACGGGAGGCAGCAGUGGGGAAUAUUGCACAAUGGGCGGAAGCCUGAUGCAGCAACGCCGCGUGCGGGAUGACGGCCUUCGGGUUGUAAACCGCUUUCGCCUGUGACGAAGCGUGAGUGACGGUAAUGGGUAAAGAAGCACCGGCUAACUACGUGCCAGCAGCCGCGGUGAUACGUAGGGUGCGAGCGUUGUCCGGAUUUAUUGGGCGUAAAGGGCUCGUAGGUGGUUGAUCGCGUCGGAAGUGUAAUCUUGGGGCUUAACCCUGAGCGUGCUUUCGAUACGGGUUGACUUGAGGAAGGUAGGGGAGAAUGGAAUUCCUGGUGGAGCGGUGGAAUGCGCAGAUAUCAGGAGGAACACCAGUGGCGAAGGCGGUUCUCUGGGCCUUUCCUGACGCUGAGGAGCGAAAGCGUGGGGAGCGAACAGGCUUAGAUACCCUGGUAGUCCACGCUGUAAACGGUGGGUACUAGGUGUGGGGUCCAUUCCACGGGUUCCGUGCCGUAGCUAACGCUUUAAGUACCCCGCCUGGGGAGUACGGCCGCAAGGCUAAAACUCAAAGGAAUUGACGGGGCCCCGCACAAGCGGCGGAGCAUGCGGAUUAAUUCGAUGCAACGCGUAGAACCUUACCUGGGUUUGACAUGGAUCGGGAGCGCUCAGAGAUGGGUGUGCCUCUUUUGGGGUCGGUUCACAGGUGGUGCAUGGCUGUCGUCAGCUCGUGUCGUGAGAUGUUGGGUUAAGUCCCGCAACGAGCGCAACCCUUGUUCACUGUUGCCAGCACGUUAUGGUGGGGACUCAGUGGAGACCGCCGGGGUCAACUCGGAGGAAGGUGGGGAUGACGUCAAGUCAUCAUGCCCCUUAUGUCCAGGGCUUCACGCAUGCUACAAUGGCUGGUACAGAGAGUGGCGAGCCUGUGAGGGUGAGCGAAUCUCGGAAAGCCGGUCUCAGUUCGGAUUGGGGUCUGCAACUCGACCUCAUGAAGUCGGAGUCGCUAGUAAUCGCAGAUCAGCAACGCUGCGGUGAAUACGUUCCUGGGGCU